GACGAACGCUGGCGGCGUGCUUAACACAUGCAAGUCGAACGAAGUGGCGAACGGGUGAGUAACGCGUAAUCAAACUGCCCUUCAGAGGGGGACAACCGUUGGAAACGACUGCUACUACCGCAUACUGAAGGAGGGGAUUGCGUCUGAUUGGCUAGUUGGAGGGGUAACGGCCCACCAAGACGAUUAUCAGGAGACGGUCUGAGGUGAGUACCGGCAACAUUGGGGAUGAGACACGGCCCAGAGUCCUACGGAAGGCAGCAGUGGGGAGUCUGCCGCAAUGGACGAAAGUCUGACGGAGCAACGCCGCGUGAGUGAUGACGGCCUUCGGGUUGUAAAGCUCUGUUAAUCGGGACGCGGUACCGGAAUAGAAAGCCACGGCUAACUACGUGCCAGCAGCAGCGGUAAUUC
rnacentral:rRNA from 1 species